CGAAUUAGAACUUGUAUUUAAAGUAUUUCAUUUACAUUGAAAAAAAAUUAAAAUUUAAUUAGUUUGA
rnacentral:tRNA from 1 species